AGUGAACGCUGGCGGUAGGCCUAACACAUGCAAGUCGAACGGCAGCACAGUAAGAGCUUGCUCUUACGGGUGGCGAGUGGCGGACGGGUGAGGAAUACAUCGGAAUCUACUUUUUCGUGGGGGAUAACGUAGGGAAACUUACGCUAAUACCGCAUACGACCUACGGGUGAAAGCAGGGGAUCUUCGGACCUUUCGCGAUUGAAUGAGCCGAUGUCGGAUUAGCUAGUUGGCGGGGUAAAGGCCCACCAAGGCGACGAUCCGUAGCUGGUCUGAGAGGAUGAUCAGCCACACUGGAACUGAGACACGGUCCAGACUCCUACGGGAGGCAGCAGUGGGGAAUAUUGGACAAUGGGCGCAAGCCUGAUCCAGCCAUACCGCGUGAGUGAAGAAGGCCUUCGGGUUGUAAAGCCCUUUUGUUGGGAAAGAAAAGCAGCAGGUUAAUACCCCGCUGUUCUGACGGUACCCAAAGAAUAAGCACCGGCUAACUUCGUG
rnacentral:rRNA from 1 species